CCUACGGGAGGCAGCAGUGAGGAAUAUUGGUCAAUGGGCUUACGCCUGAACCAGCCAAGUCGCGUGAGGGAAGACUGCCCUAUGGGUUGUAAACCUCUUUUGUCAGGGAGCAAUUGGCGCUACGUGUAGCGUUAUCGAGAGUACCUGCAGAAAAAGCAUCGGCUAACUCAGUGCCAGCAGCCGCGGUAAUACGGAGGAUGCGAGCGUUAUCCGGAUUUAUUGGGUUUAAAGGGUGCGUAGGCGGAAUGCAAAGUCAGCGGUAAAAUCGCGGGGCUCAACCUCGCUCCGCCGUUGAAACUGGCGGUCUUGAGUGGGCGAGAAGUAUGCGGAAUGCGUGGUGUAGCGGUGAAAUGCAUAGAUAUCACGCAGAACUCCGAUUGCGAAGGCAGCAUACCGGCGCCCAACUGACGCUGAAGCACGAAAGCGUGGGUAUCGAACAGGAUUAGAUACCCUAGUAGUC
rnacentral:rRNA from 1 species